CCCAGCCUGCCUUAAACCUUCUUUCCCCCGCCCCUUCCCAGUCCCGCCUAUUUACCCCACUCCUUCCCAGUCUAACCCUAUUUUACCCUAUGGAGGGCCCCGUCCCUUCAGUGCAGCAACUACAACAGCUGCCCUGGUGCCCCUAACCCAUCAGCAGCACCAGAUGAUCGCCAUGCUGUAGGAGGGCCUAGACUACACCUUUCAGUGGAUGAAACCCUUUUCAGUGCUACAGCCCCGCCAAGCCAGGGAAGCUGUGCAGGAAACUGUGGAGGCAAACAGGAGGAAGCCCCUGGCUCUGCAGGACAGAGAGCGCUGAGUCUAGGCCUGGUUCCAAAUGGCGUUUUUUCAAGAGUUGCAUAGUUGCUUAUGGUCGGCGUGGAAUCCGAGGCAACGCUGCCUCAGACACCGCGCCGCAUCGAGGUCCCUCAGGAUUGAGGGUCUGAGGGUCGUACGGAAGGAGGCCUGUUCAUGUCCGUCUCCUCCUGAAGGCCUUUCUCUCCUCUUCUGCCCUCAAGUCUUUGCUUUUCCUGCCUGUCAGCCUAACAUGCCUGCUCGUCUCCCUCGCCAGGCACGAACACGUCAGUCUCUGUGCUUGGCCGUGUGACCUCGAGCGGCUUUUACCUCGCAGGGAGCAGUUGCAUUCUCCCCUCAGCACACCUGUGAGAAGGCGGCGGCUCUGCAGGUGCCUGUCCACCUCUCUGAGGUCCCCCAGGAUGCCAUACCGUUGGGUCCGGGAGCUGUGGGUCGUUGUUCCACCAUGUGACCGGUGUGACCAUAAGCAACAGUUGCUACACCAUGGAGACAGGAGUGAUCCUCACCAGCAAUGUGAAACCAUGACCGGCAGUGUGAAUGAAGAGCACUUCAACACCCCAUUGCUCUUUACAGAGGAGGAUAAACUGCCAUUGCUGACUUCACUAUAGUCCAUUAAAAAUAAUGUUUAAUGAAAUAGUUCUAGUUCCGGUAAUUCGACGAUAAAAAUGCUCUGAUGUGAUUCUAUAUUCUUUAACUGUUGCCAAAUAAAAAAUUAGAAGUAUGUAUUGUGAAGAUGUGUUUCAUGUAAAGGAAAGGUAAUAUUGCACACUAGAAAUACAUCUAGGUAAUUUAUGCAAAUACUCUUUGUCCAGGUUAUAUCCAACCCAAAACGGUAAGCUAGUCAACUGAUGAUUUUGUGAAUAAAAUGCUUUUAUAUUGGGAGUCCUCACCUUCUCUUAAACUGUGGUAUUAAUCCUGUCAGACCCUGUAUACAUGCAUGUACAUACAUGGUGAUUGGGAUUGUUAGCAUAGCAUUAGGGAUCAUGCUAUGUUUAGAAACGUUAGCAUAUGCCAUUGAAAUUCAGGAUAUGAAUUAAGGGUAGCAUGGACUGUAGCUGCUUGCCCGUUGACUUUACCUGUUCCCGCAGAGGAGGAGCGCCGUGACAGGGAGAGGAGUCAGAAUUUGGGGCUCCGUAAUCGUAAGCUCUGUCAUUCCAGUGGCUGGCACUCAUUCUGCCAUUUGUAAUGUGAUUAGUCAUGUGGGUCUGCUGUUAUUAGCGCCACUCAUUUCACAGGGCUGAGGUUUGUUAGGAGUGCUUCAUGUGUGGCUCCCCUAAGGUUUGUAAGAGCAGCCUUUUUGGUGUAGUGCACAGUAGCUUUAUUGAAGCAGCCGUUUCAUGACUGCUGGUUGCGGUAAUCUGGCCAUGGCCUAUCUCCCAAGGUAAGGCCCCAUGGGGUCUUGUCAAUGUAAUAUGAGGGCUUACUUUGUAUUUUUCAUGU